AACGUAGGUGGCAAGCGUGAUCCGGAAUUACUGGGCGUAAAGGGUGUGCAGGCGGGGGUGCAAGUGGGGUGUGAAAUCUCCCAGCUUAACUGGGAUAGGUUAUGCCAGACUGCAUAUCUAGAGGACGAGAGAGGGGGGUGGAAUUCCGGGUGUAGUGGUGAAAUGCGUAGAGAUCCGGAGGAACCCCAGAGGCGAAGGCGGCCCCCUGGCUCGUACCUGACGCUCAGCCACGAAAGCAUGGGGAGCGAACGGG
rnacentral:rRNA from 1 species